CCUAGACUGAAAUCCGCCGCAGACCCAUAGAGAACCCUUAACGCCCAAAACCAAAAUCCCUCCCUUUCCAAAAACCCAGCUGCUCCACCCUCUAAAGAUCUCUCACGCCAAAAGAGCAGCCAUUAUUUAACGGGGAAACCACCACGUUUGACAAAAGAAGACUAGAGCCGCCUCCUGAAGUCUUUUCUCUCCAUUCUUGAACUAGUCUUACUUCAAACAACUUUAGUUGAUUGAACCUACAAAGCUACUUUUAUCGUAGAUACGAGCUACAUAAUCUUUUGAAAGAAGAGGUUCCGUUCGCUCGUGGUCGCCGGCGUAGUCUCUGAUCCGGUCACGAUCCCAUUCAAUUGUUCUUCUGAUUUUUCUUUGGUUUGUUGGAAACUAGAUUGAACGCAUUGAUUCCAAUCCUGAUGAAAAGGCCGAAAUGUCAAUUGCUGAAGAUGUAAAUGAUAUGAGUCUUUUGAAGUUUCUCCAAUAUAUUUGUUAUGCACUUAUCCAUGAUAUUCAUGACAAAUGAAGUAUAGAAGAAAAGAGAGGCCCGUUCAA